rnacentral:lncRNA from 1 species
UGAAAGCUAAAGAUAAGCAAGACCCCACUUACCAAGCCGAACGAAGAACAUCGACAAUUUAAAGCACAACAAUUUGAACGAAAGAUUUAUGAAUAGAAUCAAGGAAGAAGUAAAAAAAAUUGGCAGAGAAAAGAAAAGAAAAGAAAAACAAACGUCAGAAAGAAGGAAUUUUGGGAAAAAGAAUUAAAUUAAAAAUUUAAAAAUUAAAUCAAAUAAUACCCCAACUCUCCACUAUCCCAC